rnacentral:rRNA from 1 species
CAGUCGCCGCGGUAAUACGAGGGGGGCAAGCGUUGUUCGGAAUUAUUGGGCGUAAAGGGUGCGUAGGCGGUUUGAUAAGUCUUGUGUGAAAUCCCCGGGCUCAACCUGGGAACUGCAUUUGUGACUGGCGGGCUAGAGUAUGGCAGAGGGGGGUAGAAUUCCACGUGUAGCAGUGAAAUGCGUAGAGAUGUGGAGGAAUACCGAUGGCGAAGGCAGCCCCCUGGGCCAAUACUGACGCUCAUGCACGAAAGCGUGGGGAGCAAACAGGAUUAGAUACCCCGGUAGUCCCUGUCUCUUAUAC